AGAGUUUGAUCAUGGCUCAGGAUGAACGCUAGCGACAGGCUUAACACAUGCAAGUCGAGGGGCAGCACAGGUAGCAAUACUGGGUGGCGACCGGCGCACGGGUGCGUAACGCGUAUGCAACCUACCUAUAAUAGGGGGAUAGCCUUCUGAAAGGGAGAUUAAGACCGCAUAAUACAACUGACUCGCAUGGAUUGGUUGUAAAAUAUUUAUAGAUUAUAGAUGGGCAUGCGUCUGAUUAGAUAGUUGGAGAGGUAACGGCUCACCAAGUCAACGAUCAGUAGGGGUUCUGAGAGGAAGGUCCCCCACAUUGGAACUGAGACACGGUCCAAACUCCUACGGGGGGCAGCAG
rnacentral:rRNA from 1 species